rnacentral:rRNA from 1 species
GAUGAACGCUGGCGGCGUGCCUAAUACAUGCAAGUCGAGCGAAUGGAUUAAGAGCUUGCUCUUAUGAAGUUAGCGGCGGACGGGUGAGUAACACGUGGGUAACCUGCCCAUAAGACUGGGAUAACUCCGGGAAACCGGGGCUAAUACCGGAUAACAUUUUGAACCGCAUGAUUCGAAAUUGAAAGGCGGCUUCGGCUGUCACUUAUGGAUGGACCCGCGUCGCAUUAGCUAGUUGGUGAGGUAACGGCUCACCAAGGCAACGAUGCGUAGCCCAGCUGAGAGGGUGAUGGGCCACAAUGGGACGGAGGCACGGCCCAGACUCCUACGGGAGGCAGCAGUAGGGAAGCUUCCGCAAUGGACGAAAGUCUGACGGAGCAACGCCGCGUGAGUGAUGAAGGCUUUCGGGUCGUAAAACUCUGUUGUUGGGGAAGAACAAGUGCUAGUUGAAUAAGCUGGCACCUUGACGGUACCUAACCAGAAAGCCACGGCUAACUACGUGCCAGCCGCCGCCGUAA